rnacentral:snRNA from 1 species
ACUUGCGCUUGGGGACAAACAAUCUCAAAUGAUUUUCUUGAUGAGAUUGAAUGCUAGUUGAAAAUAAUUCCGCUUAACUUAUUUUUACCCCUCAUU